GACGAACGCUGGCGGCGUGCUUAACACAUGCAAGUCGAACGGAAAGGCCCUGCUUUUGUGGGGUGCUCGAGUGGCGAACGGGUGAGUAACACGUGAGUAACCUGCCCUUGACUUUGGGAUAACUUCAGGAAACUGGGGCUAAUACCGGAUAGGAGCUCCUGCUGCAUGGUGGGGGUUGGAAAGUUUCGGCGAGUGGGGAUGGACUCGCGGCUUAUCAGCUUGUUGGUGGGGUAGUGGCUUACCAAGGCUUUGACGGGUAGCCGGCCUGAGAGGGUGACCGGCCACAUUGGGACUGAGAUACGGCGCAGACUCCUACGGGAGGCAGCAGUGGGGAAUAUUGCACAAUGGGCGGAAGCCUGAUGCAGCAACGCCGCGUGCGGGAUGACGGCCUUCGGGUUGUAAACCGCUUUCGCCUGUGACGAAGCGUGAGUGACGGUAAUGGGUAAAGAAGCACCGGCUAACUACGUG
rnacentral:rRNA from 1 species